AGAAUUUGAAAGGUUACAGAAACUUUAUAUUUUCCUAAACCACCUUGUACCCAGAUAUUAAAUGUUGCCUUCGGAUUAUAUUGGUUGCCUUCGGUUUUGUCAGCAUGCUUAACGGUUGCCCCACGAGUUCCUUGGUACUCGAAUUCGUGUGGAGCGAGUUAUGCGGAUCAGGUGGACUACGGUCCCCUGAAUCCUGCGAGUUGCGGCUCGGAC
rnacentral:lncRNA from 1 species